CAAGUCGAACGAAUCCCACUCGUGUAGCAAUACAUGGGUGGGGGAAGUGGCGAAAGGGGCAGUAAGGCGUGGGUAACCUACCCCGGGGACGCGGAUAGCCGGUCUAACGGCCGGGUAAACCGCGGCGAUUCAGCGGAGGGGCAUCUUUCUGCUGGGAAAUAAAUUUUGCCUCGGGAGGGGCUCACGUGAUAUUAGCUGGUUGGUGAGGUGACGGCUCACCAAGGCGAAGAUGUCUAGCGGGUGUGAGAGCACGACCCGCGCCACUGGCACUGAGACACUGGCCAGACACCUACGGGUGGCUGCAGUCGAGGAUCUUCGGCAAUGGGCGCAAGCCUGACCGAGCGACGCCGCGUGAGCGAUGAAGGCCUUCGGGUUGUAAAGCUCUGUCGAGGGGGAUAAAGGCGCAAGCUUGAUUGAUCCCUGGAGGAAGCACGGGCUAAGUUCGUGCCAGCAGCCGCGGUAAGACGAACCGUGCGAACGUUGUUCGGAAUCACUGGGCUUAAAGGGCGCGUAGGCGGCUAUUCAAGUCCGGGGUGAAAUCCUCCCGCUCAACGGGAGAAGUGCCUUGGAUACUGGAUGGCUCGAGGGAGGUAGGGGUCGAGGGAACUUCUGGUGGAGCGGUGAAAUGCGUUGAUAUCAGAAGGAACGCCGGUGGCGAAAGCGCUCGACUGGACCUUUUCUGACGCUGAGGCGCGAAAGCUAGGGGAGCAAACGGGAUUAGAUACCCCGGUAGUCCUAGCCCUAAACGAUGAGCACUAGUUUGUGGACUAGUCAUGGGUUCACAGACGAAGCAAAAGUUUUAAGUGCUCCGCC
rnacentral:rRNA from 1 species